rnacentral:rRNA from 1 species
CUGGCGGCGUGCUUAACACAUGCAAGUCGAGUGCGCGCUUGUAGCAAUACAAGUGGCGCACGGCGCACGGGUGCGUAACACGUGGGUAACCUGCCCUUUGGUGGGGAAUAACCUCGCGAAAGCGAGGCUAAUUCCGCAUAAGAUCCGCAAGGAUGAAAGCCGCAAGGCGCCGAAGGAGGGGCCCGCGCACGAUUAGUUAGUUGGUAGGGUAACGGCCUACCAAGACUAUGAUCGUUAGCUGGUCUGAGAGGAUGGCCAGCCACACUGGAACUGAGACACGGUCCAGACUCCUACGGGAGGCAGCAGUGGGGAAUCUUGCGCAAUGGGCGAAAGCCUGACGCAGCGACGCCGCGUGGGGGAUGAAGCUUCUCGGAGUGUAAACCCCUUUCGACUGGGACGAAUUACUCGCAAGAGGGGUGACGGUACCAGUAGAAGAAGCCCCGGCUAACUAC